AUUGAACGCUGGCGGCAUGCCUUACACAUGCAAGUCGAACGGCAGCACGGGAGCAAUCCUGGUUGCGAGUGUCGAACGGGUGAGUAAUACAUCGGAACGUGCCCCGCAGUGGGGGAUAACCCCGCGAAAGCCGGACUAAUACCGCCUACGACCUACUGGUGAAAGCGGGGGAUCGCAAGACCUCUCGCUAUCGGAGCGACCGAUGUCAGAUUAGCUAGUUGGUGGGGUAAAGGCCUACCAAGGCGACGAUCUGUAGCUGGUCUGAGAGGACGACCAGCCACACGGGGACGGAGACACGGCCCAGAGUCCUACGGGAGGCAGCAGUGGGGAAUGGUGGACAGUGGGCGCAAGCCUGAUCCAGCCAGGCCGCGUGCGGGAAGAAGGCCUUCGGGUUGUAAACCGCUUUUGUCAGGGAAGAAACGCUCCGGGCUAAGACCACGGAGUAAUGACGGUACCUGAAGAAUAAGCACCGGCUAACUACGUG
rnacentral:rRNA from 1 species